UGCGGAAUCUACUCUGUCGUGGGGGAUAACNUANGGAAACUUACGCUAAUACCGCAUACGACCUACGGGUGAAAGCAGGGGAUCUUCGGACCUUGCGCGAUUGAAUGAGCCGAUGUCGGAUUAGCUAGUUGGCGGGGUAAAGGCCCACCAAGGCGACGAUCCGUAGCUGGUCUGAGAGGAUGAUCAGCCACACUGGAACUGAGACACGGUCCAGACUCCUACGGGAGGCAGCAGUGNGGAAUAUUGGACAAUGGGCGCAAGCCUGAUCCAGCCAUACCGCGUGGGUGAAGAAGGCCUUCGGGUUGUAAAGCCCUUUUGUUGGGAAAGAAAUCCAGCCGGCUAAUACCUGGUUGGGAUGACGGUACCCAAAGAAUAAGCACCGGCUAACUUCGUGCCAGCAGCCGCGGUAAUACGAAGGGUGCAAGCGUUACUCGGAAUUACUGGGCGUAAAGCGUGCGUAGGUGGUUAUUUAAGUCCGUUGUGAAAGCCCUGGGCUCAACCUGGGAACUGCAGUGGAUACUGGAUGACU
rnacentral:rRNA from 1 species